rnacentral:rRNA from 1 species
UUUGUUUUUUAAUUAAAAACUAGAAUGAAAGAUUUAACAUUUUAAUUUCUUUAUUAAAUUUUUAAUAUAAAUUUAUAUUAAAUAUAAAAAUAUAUUUAUAAUAAAAAAAGACGACAAGACCCUAUUAAAUUUUACUUAAUGUUUAGCUGGGGCAGCUUUUUAAAUAAAAUUUUAAAUAUAAAUAUUUACAUCUAUAUAUAUAAAUAUAUUUAAAAUCUAAUACAAUUAAAUUUUAACUAAUUACUAUAGGGAUAACAGCGUUAUAUUUUUUUCAAGUUCAUAUUUAAAAAAAUUAUUGCGACCUCGAUGUUGAAUUAUAUUUCUUUAUUAAUGCAAUAAUUAUAAAAGUAAGUCUGUUCGACUUUUAAAAUAUUACAUGAUC